CCCCUAGAUGUUCUGGGCCGCACGCGCGCUACACUGAACAGUUCAACAAGUCUUAACCUUGGCCGAUAGGUCUGGGUAAUCUUUGAACGCUGGUCGUGAUGGGGAUAGAUUAUUGCAAUUAUUAAUCUUCAACGAGGAAUGCCUAGUAAGCGCAAGUCAUCAGCUUGCGUUGAUUACGUCCCUGCCCUUUGUACACACCGCCCGUCGCUCCUACCGAUUGAAUGGUCCGGUGAAGCGUUCGGACCGUGGCCUUUGGACGGUUCGCCGUCUGUUGGCUGCGGGAAGUUCGUUAAACCUUAUCAUUUAGAGGAAGGAGAAGUCGUAACA
rnacentral:rRNA from 1 species